ensembl:lncRNA
CCCAGAUCCACAGUGGUGUACUCUCUUGCUGGUGGGGCAGUCGGCUACAGUUCUUUAUCUUAUCAGCUCCUACAAACACUGCAUUUCCCUGGUAAGAUCUCGGCACUUGAAGGUGAAAGGCCUUCCUGCCCUGGAGUUUGAUGGGAGCUGAGUUAUCAAAAGAGAAGUCUUCCUUACAGAUUGGUGUACUUCUUAUCAGGUCUAAGAUUCUAAUGUAGACUGAAGACCAGAAACUCUCCAGAAAUCCUCUGCAACUCCAGCACUGGACUGGGACUACUGAGACAUACAACCUGGGCCUUAAAGCUGGGAAGUGCGCUACUGGAACUAAAACCCAGGAACAAACAUUUUUGCCUUAAAGAAGAGAAAUUCUGGCUUCAGAGAAGACCCAGUCAAUGAAGUGCUAAGCAUGAGUCAUGAGGACUGAAGUUCAAUCCUCCAGAGCCCAUGGAGGUGGGGGAUGAGGGGGCUUGGCAUGGGCUGGUGAGAGGGCUUAGUGGAGAAAGGCGCUUGCCACUAAGCCUGACUAAAACCUGAGUUCAAUCUUUUAAUUAGACUGAGCAGAAAGCCUGUUUGCAUGACUCCAGCAUUGGGACAGCUCACCAUGUGGCCCCGCUCUUUACAUGGCUGCUGUAGAUCCAAACUUAUGUCCUCAUGCGUUUGUGGCAAAUACUUUACUGUCUGAGUCAUCUUCCCAACCCCAGCAGAGUAUUUUUAUCUACUAGAUGUUUCUGUGUCUAUUUUUGAACAUACAGUGGGGAGUUUUGUGGAUGCUACCAGAAAUAAGGUAGAAAUAAAGAAACAUCUGUAUCUCCCAGUACGCAAAAUCCACAAGAAAAAUAAUUUACAUAUUUCAGCAUAAGCAAAGAAUGUCCGGUGGAGCACCCUAAACAACACCACAGUAUUAGGAAAUUGGGAAAAAUCGGAGGAGAGCACUGUCAGGAAAGACCCAUGAAUCCACAUCAAAGACCUCAGGAUUCAGACUCAUGGGAUGCCAGACAAUUGUAAAGGUCACUUAGUGUAGGCUGGGGGCGUAGCUCAGGGCAUCAGGCAAGGGUGGCAAGGAAGUUUCACUGUGGAGCCAUCUUGCUGGCCUGUAGGGUCUUUUGAGAUAAAAAUACCUACAGCUCUUUAAAAAGCAAUCAAGAUGUCCAUGAGACUAUGAGCCAUGCUGCAGCCUGCUUAAAAUAGAGGAGGUGUGAUGGCCUAUCACAGAAAACAUGAAUUUGAAACAGUCCAGUCAUAAUCUAUUGAAUUUUAUGUGUAAGCUAGGCAAUCACAUUAGGUAAUACUAAACAAUAUACAUGAAAACUGUGAGGUUAGUUUAUAUUAUUUCAUAUUUGAGUAGUGCCAGUAUUUCAUGAAUCAAAAUGAACAAUAUCAAAAUGAAUAUUAAAACAGACAUCUUGUGAGGUUGAAGAAAUAAUUCAGAGGUUAAAAGUACUUGCUGCUCUUGUAGAGGACCCCAGUUUUUAUUCCCAGAUCCUAGGAAUCUUACACUAUUUUUCUGGCCUUCAAGGGCACUCAGGUGUAUGUGUAUAUAUGUAUUCACACACAGAAGCACAUAACGUGCACAUAAAUA